UACGUAGGGUGCGAGCGUUGUCCGGAAUUAUUGGGCGUAAAGGGCUCGUAGGCGGUUUGUCGCGUCGGGAGUGAAAUCCACUGGCUUAACUGGUGGCUUGCUUCGAUACGGCAGACUGGAGGUAUGCAGGGGAGAACGGAAUUCCUGGUGUAGCGGUGAAAUGCGCAGAUAUCAGGAAGAACACCAAUGGCGAAGGCAGCUCUCUGGGACGGUACUGACACUGAGACGCGAAGCGUGGGAGCGAACAG
rnacentral:rRNA from 1 species